rnacentral:rRNA from 1 species
CACGUAGGGCGCAAGCGUUUGUCCGGAAUUAUUGGGGCGUAAAGAGCUCGUAGGCGGUCUGUUGCGUCCGCUGUGAAAACUCGGGGGCUUAACCCCCGAGCCUGCAGUGGAUACGGGCAGACUAGAGGUAGGUAGGGGGAGAAUGGAAUUCCCCGGUGUAGCGGUGAAAUGCGUAGAUAUCGGGAGGAAUACCGGGUGGCGAAGGCG